rnacentral:rRNA from 1 species
CAGCAGCCACGGUAAUACAGAGGGUGCAAGCGUUAAUCGGAAUUACUGGGCGUAAAGCGCGCGUAGGUGGUUUGUUAAGUUGGAUGUGAAAUCCCCGGGCUCAACCUGGGAACUGCAUCCAAAACUGGCAAGCUAGAGUACGGCAGAGGGUGGUGGAAUUUCCUGUGUAGCGGUGAAAUGCGUAGAUAUAGGAAGGAACACCAGUGGCGAAGGCGACCACCUGGACUGAUACUGACACUGAGGUGCGAAAGCGUGGGGAGCAAACAGGAUUAGAUACCCCUGUAGUCCCUGUCUCUUAUAC